rnacentral:rRNA from 1 species
AUUGAACGCUGGCGGCAGGCCUAACACAUGCAAGUCGAACGGAGUGGCGGACGUGUGAGUAAUGUCUGGGAAACUGCCCGGUGGAGGGGGAUAACGUCUGGAAACGGGCGCUACUACCGCAUACUAUCAGAUGAGCCUAGGUCGGAUUAGCUAGUUGGUGGGGUAAAGGCCUACCAAGGCGACGAUCCGUAACUGGUCUGAGAGGAUGAUCAGGCACACUGGAAAGGAGACACGGUCCAGACUCCUACGGGAGGGCGCAGUGGGGAAGAUUGGACAAGGGGCGAAAGCCUGAUCCAGCCAUGCCGCGUGUAUGAAGAAGGCCUUCGGGUUGUAAAGUACUUGCAGCGAGGAGGCGUUACUCGCAGAAGAAGCACCGGCUAACUCCGUGCCAGCAGCCGCGGUAAUUC